UACGUAGGGUGCGAGCGUUAAUUGGAAUUACUGGGCGUAAAGCGUGCGCAGGCGGUUUGUUAAGUCUGAUGUGAAAGCCCCGGGCUCAACCUGGGAACUGCAUUGGAAACUGGCAAGCUCGAGUAUGGCAGAGGGGGGUGGAAUUCCGCGUGUAGCAGUGAAAUGCGUAGAGAUGCGGAGGAACACCGAUGGCGAAGGCAGCCCCCUGGGCCAAUACUGACGCUCAGGCACGAAAGCGUGGGGAGCAAACAGG
rnacentral:rRNA from 1 species